rnacentral:lncRNA from 1 species
CCCAAAGCACCCAAGAUUGCUCCAGUUUAUCCACCACCCAAGUCACCAAGCAAGCCGCCAACUUACGCUCCUCCACCCAAGUCACCCAGCAAGCCGCCAAGUUACGCUCCUCCACCCAAGUCACCCAGCAAGCCGCCAACUUACGCUCCUCCGACCAAGCCACCAACUUACGCCCCUCCACCCAAGCCACCAGUUUAUCCUCCAACUAAGCCACCGACUGCGCCCCCGACUAAGCCACCAGUGCACCCACCAACAUAUCCUCCACCAUCGCCUUCUCCACCUAAGCCGCCAACUUAUCCUAAACCACAAAGGAGCCUAGUGGCUGUUCAGGGCGUUGUUUUUUGCAAGUCAUGCAAAUACGCUGGAUCUGACACCCUGUUGGGAGCGACGCCUAU